AGCUUUCUGAAUCCUUACUGAGAUUUCGUCAGAUACCAACCCACUAGGGCUGAUCAAACUUCCAAGAUAAGUAAAGUU
rnacentral:pre_miRNA from 1 species